AACCAAAAUGCAAAAAAAAAAAUUUUAAUUUUAAAAUCAUGCAUUGAACUUUCCUUCAUAGUUUUCUUUCAUUUCAUUCCAUAUUUUUGAUAGUCAAAAAUUAAAUUAGCAAGGAUUCAUUUUGCCUUGUGGCUCUGUGAGAGGACAGUAUAUAUAGCUACCUCUCUGUCCCACAAUUCCUAUUUCAUUUGCUUCAUGGCAUAUGUUUUCUUUUGACAUUUUUUCCCCCCAUAAUUUCACUGCAUUGCAGCCCAGUGCGUCCCCAGUCCCCCUGCCUCCCCAACCAGCCUGGUCCCUCCCCCUUCUGCUGACUACUCUGACUCCUCCCACAUCAUGAAGGUGUGAAGCUCAAGCUCUUGCAGCUGUCAAAUUUGACGAUGAACCCUUCUGAGUGUCCAGCAGACAAAGAAAAGACGGGGAAAAAACCCCACUGAACACCAAGAACAUAGGUUUUGCCUCUGCCAAACAUUGUAUUUCUUUCGAUUACUUACACAACGCCAUGCAGAGAAAUAUUUCAAAAUGUUUGGAUGUUUGCAGAGGGCUGUUCACGAGCGAGGUUAUCUGCCUCCACAUCUCCUCACAAUCCUCAUUCGGAGUGUGUAACCCACGGCAGAACUACGUAAUUCAAUUUAUCAUUGCUUUUGACUUGGUUUCGGAGGAUGGCAGUCAUAUUACAAAAGCUACAAACUAGCCAGGAAGUGGACGAUGUUUACAGAUUCAUAUCUACUCUCGGUCACAUUACUGACUGGAGUACAUACAGCAGAUUCAUACUACAAAUGCUGGGUACAGCUGCUCAGGGCGGAUUCUGCAGACACAAGCACGUUUGUGACUGGAAAGAGCGUGACGGAGAUCGAGAUGCGACCAGAGGAAAAUAGCCAUGCUUGAGGAAGUUGAAAAAACCAGACCAAGGACUGCAGCAAAGUUGUCAAAGCUCAGUUUAUCUGUAAGUCAUCAGAAAGAAAGAUUCGGAACCGCUGGUAUGAUAAUUAGCUGUGUUCAGAACACAAGCCGCAAUCGACCCCUGAGGAUUUACGAACGGAACUCCGUAGGAAUCUGGAACAAUCGUAGACUGUUGAUGAACCCGUUGUUGUCUUGAUCCAAAGGAUGUUGGCAUUGGGCACUUCCCCUCCAUCAUCUUUAAGGCCAGACUCACUGUGACUCCUCCUGGCCUCCUCUUUUCCCACAAUCCUCUCCAGUUUCACAAUAGGGCUUGAGAACCCUCUCCCGUCAAUGUUGCAGUCUCUCAAACCAUUGUCAGGCCUUUAAGUAUCGUGUGUAUCUGUAAAGAAAGCAUAUAUAUUGAUAUGACUAUUACUCUAAUCUUUGCAUCAAAGCCAUGUGGACUCAUCAUAGUGCUUUUACUGCUAGGACAGUAGUUACCAAAUAAUGGUACCUAAAUACUUGUGAGCGUGUGUGGUAGAUUAAUGAGAAGAGAAAGCCGAACCAUUGGAAGUGUCCUUAGAGUUGUAAGUCUGCUUGUUGAAACAAUGCGUGUUCAUGCGAGGCCAGCAACUUGCAUUACAGCCCGUAUAUACUGACGGUAAAUUAUGUAACCUGUUGCCCCAACAGAAUAUCAAAGCCCUUAUUUGUGGAUCGUUGUGCCAUUUGGAGAUUCAUUUGGCUGUUUCUUUUCUGCUGUGGCACGGUUUUUGUGUAAAUAUAGAUUGACAUGGAAUUAAAUGGAACAAUAUUUUGGAUUAUUUUUCUAUCACUGGUAAUUACCUCUGUAAUCAAGCAGCUUGAUUAUAAUGUAUCGUAAAGUAAAGAACAAUUUGCCAAACCAUAUAAAUCUCCUGUUUUGUAAGUUGUUAGCCCAUACUGUGCUUUCUGCUUGUCUUUUUUUAACGUGAAAUUAGUCUAACUCUUGACUAAACACUGGCCUCAGCUUGUGUAUGAUCUGUUUUGUUAGAAUUUGUUUGACGGAACUCUUCGGUCGAGAAAAGUCACGGAAAUCAUGUUGUACCCCUGAAUCUAGCUAAAACACAGUAUGAGAUCUGGAAAAAUGAAUAACGCCCCACAGAAGCAGAUUAGCCAUCAUCACUUUUAAGCAAAAACAGCCCUGAAGGGAAAGACAGAGAUCUAUUUUUAUCAUUUUUCAGAAAGAGAAAAACAAUAUCAAUGCAUUGCAUAUUUUUCUAUGUAUAAAAUGAGGUUUGAUUGGUUACAUUUGUAAAAUGAUUAAAGAGAGUUUUGAUCUGAUAUAUAUUAUGGAGAUACUGAUCGAGGCUGAUAUAUUUUUAAUUUAUUGACCGAAACUUUGCAGCAUUCUUUUGAAGGCCUUGUUUAAAAUUCACAUUAAGUGUUUUGUACUAAUUGGACAAAAUGGUCAAAGUUGCAGUUGGACAGUCAAAGCAAGAGAUGUCUAAUAUUUGAUAAAAAAUAAAAUAAACAUGUAGCAUAUAAAGUGGGAUUAACUACAGUAAGUCAAAAUAAGCACAUUGGUCUGUGUAAAUAUUUUUAAAUCAAAACACUGUAUGUCUUCAUAUUUACCGUAACUAAUGCUAUUUUAAGGGAAAAAAUGAGACUGCUUGAGCUAUGCAAAUCAAACAAAAUAAUACUUAAUGUGCUUGCUUUAGAAGUACCCUCAUGCAAUAAAGUGAAUGUAUUUAAAA